rnacentral:rRNA from 1 species
CCUACGGGAGGCAGCAGUGGGGAAUAUUGCACAAUGGGGGAAACCCUGACGCAGCGACGCCGCGUGAGUGAAGAAGGUUUUCGGAUUGUAAAGCUCUAUCAGCUGUGACGAAGAUGACGGUAGCUUCUAAAGAAGCCCCGGCUAACUUCGUGCCAGCAGCCGCGGUAAUACGAAGGGGGCAAGCGUUGUUCGGAAUUACUGGGCGUAAAGGGAGUGUAGGCGGGUUAGUAAGAUAGUGGUGAAAUCCCAGAGCUUAACUUUGGGAUUGCCAUUAUAACUAUUAGACUAGAGUUAUAGAGAGGAUAGCGGAAUACCCAGUGUAGGGGUGAAAUUCGUAGAUAUUGGGUAGAACACCAGUGGCGAAGGCGACUAUCUGGCAGGACACUGACGCUGAGGCUCGAAAGCAUGGGUAUCGAACAGGAUUAGAUACCCGAGUAGUC